AUGAGGGACCAGAUCCCUUAUGAGAGGGCUGGGAUUUGGAGCGGUGUCUCCCCGCUGGAACCCCACCCCUUUCCACCUCCUCGCCCCACUCGGCUCUCCGCGGCCGUCAGUCUCUCCAUUUCCCCCUCCCGGUCUCGUCCUCCCUCCCGCCCCGCUCGCGCUCCCGCCCCUAGCUUUCAUCCUCCUAUCCCCACCUCUCCAGCCUCCUCUUUCAUCCCCCUCCCCUCUCCUCUCCUCCCCACUCCCGCCUGCCCCACCCCUGGGAAGCCCCUCCCGUCGGGCAGCGCCGCCUUAAAAGCGGGUUCCCUUCCCGGGGGCGGCAGCGGCUGGUCGGCGGCAGCUCUGCUGGUGCGGGGGUGGCAAGCCGGACCGAGCGACCGCUACCAGAGCGCACCGGCCACCGCCCGCACCGCCCUUCCGCCCGCCCUCCGGACGGCCGCAGCCCUGCGGGUCUCAGCUCCGGACCCACCCCCGCCCCACCCCGCGCGCCUCUGCCGCCUCUUGCAGAGAGUCAGCUUGCCGAGCGGUCGCCGCUGUCGCUGCCUCCGCCGCCACCGCGCCAAGUUCCGGCCGCGGCCACCCUCCGCCGUCCAGGGCCCCUCCGUCUCGGCCCCGGGACCCCGGCUCCCCGCCAGCCCCGGCCCCGGCACCAUGUCGGAGAAGAGCGUGGAGGCAGCGGCCGAGUUGAGCGCCAAGGACCUGAAGGAGAAGAAGGAGAAAGGGGAGGAGAAGGCAGGCCGGAAAGAGAGAAAGAAAGAAGUAGUGGAGGUAUGGACAGGGAAGGCAGGAGAUGAUCACACUUACCCUAACUUCUUCCCUCCUCAGCUGCCUUCUUGGGGUGUUAGGGUCCUGCAUCCUUCCAUGGACCCCUCCAUCCUUCCUUUCCCAUCCUGA